GUGGGGUAACGGCCUACCAAGGCAUCGACGGGUAGCUGGUCUGAGAGGACGAUCAGCCACACUGGGACUGAGACACGGCCCAGACUCCUACGGGAGGCAGCAGUGGGGAAUAUUGCGCAAUGGGCGAAAGCCUGACGCAGCAACGCCGCGUGAGGGAUGACGGCUUUCGGGUUGUAAACCUCUUUCAGUGAUGACGAAAAUGACGGUAAUCACAGAAGAAGGUCCGGCCAACUACGUGCCAGCAGCCGCGGUAACACGUAGGGACCAAGCGUUGUCCGGAUUUAUUGGGCGUAAAGAGCUCGUAGGCGGUUUCGUAAGUCGGAUGUGAAAACUCAGGGCUCAACCCUGAGACGCCAUCUGAUACUGCGAUGACUGGAGUCCGGUAGGGGCAUGGAAUUCCUUGUGUAGCGGUGGAAUGCGCAGAUAUGAGGAGGAACACCAAUGGCGAAGGCAGUGCUCUGGGCCGGUACUGACGCUGAGGAGCGAAAGCAUGGGGAGCAAACAGGAUUAGAUACCCUGGUAGUCCAUGCCGUAAACGUUGGGCACUAGGUGUGGGGUCUUCUAACGGAUUCCGUGCCGUAGCUAACGCAUUAAGUG
rnacentral:rRNA from 1 species